rnacentral:rRNA from 1 species
CUACAAAGGAAUUGACGGGUCCCGCACAAGCAGCGGAGCGUGUGGUUAAUUCGUUGCUACACGAAGAACCUUACCUGGGUUUGACAUAGCAGUGGUAGGGAAGAGAAAUCGGACCGACCCUUCGGGGAGCUGUUACAGGUGUUGCAUGGGCUGUCGUCAGCUCGUGUCGUGAGAUGUUCGGUUAAGUCCGCUAACGAGCGCAACCCGCGUUGUGUGUUAUAUGUGUCACACAAUACCGCCGGGUAUUUAAGCCGGAGGAAGGUGCGGAUGACGUCAAGUCAGCAUGACCUUUAUAUCCAGGGCUACACACACGCUACAAUGGACAGUACAACAGGUUGCCAAGCCGCGAGGCGGAGCCAAUCCUCUAAAGCUGUCCUCAGUUCAGAUUGCAGGCUGCAACUCGCCUGCAUGAAGUUGGAGUUGCUAGUAACCGCAGGUCAGCUAUACUGCGGUGAAUACGUUCCCGGGGAUU